rnacentral:rRNA from 1 species
CCUACGGGAUGCAGCAGUCGAGAAUCAUUCACAAUGGGGGAAACCCUGAUGGUGCGACGCCGCGUGGGGGAAUGAAGGUCUUCGGAUUGUAAACCCCUGUCAUGUGGGAGCAAAUUAAAAAGAUAGUACCACAAGAGGAAGAGACGGCUAACUCUGUGCCAGCAGCCGCGGUAACACAGAGGUCUCAAGCGUUGUUCGGAAUCACUGGGCGGAAAGCGUGCGUAGGCUGUUUCGUAAGUCGUGUGUGAAAGGCGCGGGCUCAACCCGCGGACGGCACAUGAUACUGCGAGACUAGAGUAAUGGAGGGGGAACCGGAAUUCUCGGUGUAGCAGUGAAAUGCGUAGAUAUCGAGAGGAACACUCGUGGCGAAGGCGGGUUCCUGGACAUUAACUGACGCUGAGGCACGAAGGCCAGGGGAGCGAAAGGGAUUAGAUACCCGAGUAGUC